rnacentral:lncRNA from 1 species
GAGAGCGCAACGGUCUCUCGCGAUUGCCAUCACCGUACACGAUUCAGUGUCCAAAUAAAUCUAGCUAAUGUAGACAACGACGUAGACCAGAGUGUCGAAAAUCGAGGGUUAAGAGAACACGAAAUCAUGCAGCGUUGAACACUUCCCUCCAGAUAAAUCAUCUCGGUGCUGCCCCAUCACACAGAAAUCUUCGUCGAAUCUUCAAGCAUUUCCUGAUCCGAGUCAUUCGAAAUGUACGUCAUCUGAGGAUGGUCCCCGAGUCACGAGUUUCCGAUCCCAGCGAGAAGAAGU